AGAUUGAACGCUGGCGGCAGGCCUAACACAUGCAAGUCGAGCGGAAACAGAGAGUAACUUGUUACUUUGCUGUCGAGCGGCGGACGGGUGAGUAAUGCUUGGGAAACUGCCCAGUCGAGGGGGACAACCAUUGGAAACGAUGGCUAAUACCGCAUACGCCCUACGGGGGAAAGAAGGGGACUCUUCGGAGCCUUUCGCGAUUGGAUGUGCCCAAGUGGGAUUAGCUAGUUGGUGAGGUAAAGGCUCACCAAGGCGACGAUCCCUAGCUGGUUUGAGAGGAUGAUCAGCCACACUGGAACUGAGACACGGUCCAGACUCCUACGGGAGGCAGCAGUGGGGAAUAUUGCACAAUGGGCGCAAGCCUGAUGCAGCCAUGCCGCGUGUAUGAAGAAGGCCUUCGGGUUGUAAAGUACUUUCAGCGAGGAGGAAAGGGUAUAGCUUAAUACGCUGUAUCUGUGACGUUACUCGCAGAAGAAGGACCGGCUAACUCCGUGCCAGCAGCCGCGGUAAUACGGAGGGUCCGAGCGUUAAUCGGAAUUACUGGGCGUAAAGCGUACGCAGGCGGUUUGUUAAGCGAGAUGUGAAAGCCCCGGGCUCAACCUGGGAACUGCAUUUCGAACUGACAAACUAGAGUUUUGUAGAGGGUGGUAGAAUUUCAGGUGUAGCGGUGAAAUGCGUAGAGAUCUGAAGGAAUACCAGUGGCGAAGGCGGCCACCUGGACAAUAACUGACGCUCAUGUACGAAAGCGUGGGGAGCAAACGGGAUUAGAUACCCCGGUAGUCCACGCCGUAAACGAUGUCAACUAGCCGACUGGCGCCUUGAGCGCUGGGUGGCGCAGCUAACGCAUUAAGUUGACCGCCUGGGGAGUACGGCCGCAAGGUUA
rnacentral:rRNA from 1 species